rnacentral:rRNA from 1 species
AUAUUGCACAAUGGAGGAAACUCUGAUGCAGCGACGCCGCGUGAGUGAAGAAGGUUUUCGGAUCGUAAAACUCUGUCCUUGGUGAAGAAAAAAAUGACGGUAGCCAAGGAGGAAGCCCCGGCUAACUACGUGCCAGCAGCCGCGGUAAUACGUAGGGGGCGAGCGUUGUCCGGAUUUACUGGGCGUAAAGGGUGAGUAGGCGGUUAUAUAUGUCAGAUGUAAAAGGCGUAGGCUUAACUUACGUUAGCAUUUGAAACUGUAUGACUUGAGUGCAGGAGAGGUAAGUGGAAUUCCUAGUGUAGCGGUGAAAUGCGUAGAUAUUAGGAGGAACACCAGUGGCGAAGGCGACUUACUGGACUGUAACUGACGCUGAGUCACGAAAGCGUGGGUAGCAAACAGGAUUAGAUACCCUGGUAGUCCACGCUGUAAACGAUGAGUGCUAGGUGUUGGCCAGCGAUGGUCAGUGCCGCAGUUAACACAUUAAGCACUCCGCCUGGGGAGUACGUACGCAAGUAUGAAACUCAAAGGAAUUGACGGGGACCCGCACAAGCAGCGGAGCAUGUGGUUUAAUUCGAAGCAACGCGAAGAACCUUACCAAGGCUUGACAUCCCCUUGACCAGUGCAGAGAUGUACUCUCUCCUUCGGGAGCAAGGGUGACAGGUGGUGCAUGGUUGUCGUCAGCUCGUGUCGUGAGAUGUUGGGUUAAGUCCCGCAACGAGCGCAACCCUUAUCCUUAGUUGCCAGCAAGUAAAGUUGGGCACUCUAAGGAGACUGCCGAUGAUAAAUCGGAGGAAGGUGGGGAUGACGUCAAAUCAUCAUGCCCCUUAUGUCUUGGGCUAC